rnacentral:rRNA from 1 species
UACGGAGGAUGCAAGCGUUAUCCGGAAUGAUUGGGCGUAAAGGGUCCGCAGGUGGCAAUGUGUGUCUGCUGUCAAAGAAUGAGGCUUAACCUCAUCAAGGCAGUGGAAACUACAUAGCUAGAGUACGGUCGGGGUAGAAGGAAUUCCUGGUGUAGCGGUGAAAUGCGUAGAGAUCAGGAAGAACACCGGUGGCGAAAGCGUUCUGCUAGACCUGUACUGACGCUGAGGGACGAAAGCUAGGGGAGCGAAUGGG